rnacentral:rRNA from 1 species
AUAUAAAUAUUUAUUUUGUUGUUUUUUUAGUAUAUUUUAUUAAAGUAUUAUUUUUUCUAGUAUUGUCAAGAAAUAAAUUUGUUAAUUAUAGUUGACUAGUAUAGUGUUAGAAUAUUGAAAUAUUUGAAAUAUUUAAAUACUUUAAAGAAGAGCUUAUUUCUCGUACCUUGUGUAUCAGGGUCUAUUAAAAACAGGUUCAUGAGUGAAUUUUCUCGAAUCAAGAAGAGCUAAGAAAAUAUGGUGUUGUUGUGGCAUGAACAUUUGCAAUAUUUUCUUUGAAAUGAAACGUUAUUCGUUUUUUGAGAUAUCUAGUUUUUUGGGAAAUUGAAUUUAAUUCUGCAGGCAUUAAUAUUUAGGUGGUUUUUACUUAAUUUUUAUUUGUCUUGUAAUGUCUAAGGGGAUAAGCUCUUAGUCAGAAUAUUAAAAAUUACUUUUAUACUUAAAAAGUGUAGAAUUAGAAUUAUUCAUCAUUUAGAGUUCGUUAUAGAUUAUUUUCUUUAUAGAGUGAUUUUUAUUUUUUUUAGGUUUUUUACCAAAAUAACUAUUUUAAUUUUUUGGUGGUUUAAUAAUGGUAGAAUUAGUAAUUUUUACUUUAAAUUUAAGUUAUGAGUUUAGGUUAGGUUAAGGAAUUCGGCAAAUAUUUUUCCCGCCUGUUUAAUAAAAACAUGUCCUUUUGAUAAUAAUUUAAGGUCUAGCCUGCCCAAUGAAUUUUUAAUGGCCGCGAUAUUUUGAUCGUGCGAAGGUAGCAUAAUCAAUAGUUUUUUAAUUGAAAGCUUGUAUGAAUGGCUGAACGAGGGAGAUACUGUCUCAGCUUAAUUAAAUUUGAAUUUUAUUUUUAAGUCAGAAAGCUUAAAUGAUUCUUAAAGACGAGAAGACCCUAUAGAGUUUUAUAGAUUUUUUUAUGUAAGGAAUGAAGUAUUUAUUUCUUUAUAUAUUUAUAUCUAUUUGGUUGGGGUGACAUUUAAAUUGGUUUAACUUUUUAUUUUUUCUUAUAUUGAUAUAUAGGUUUAUGAUCCAUUUUUUAUGAUUAAAAGAUAAAAUUACCUUAGGGAUAACAGCGUAAUCUUUCUUGAGAGUUCAUAUUAAUAGAAAGGUUUGCGACCUCGAUGUUGGAUUAAGAUUAAUUUUCGGUGCAGUGGCUGGAAUAUUGAGUCUGUUCGACUUUUGAAAUCUUACAUGAUCUGAGUUUAAACCGGUGUGAGCCAGGUUGGCUUCUAUCUUAAGAAAAAUAAAAUAUUUUAGUACGAAAGGACCAAAUAUUUGGUAAAUUAUUUUUUUAAUGACUAUUACUAAUUCAAC